rfam:Paenibacillus sp. MAEPY2 contig30, whole genome shotgun sequence.
AUAGUUUCCCAGGGGAGUCGGAAUUGGCCGGCUGAGAGUGUAUCCCACCAAGAUACUGACCCUUAGACCUGAUCUGGAUCAUGCCAGCGUAGGAAUCGGAGUAUAUCGAAUUG